CGGGAUAUGGCGCAGCUUGGUAGCGCACCUCGUUCGGGACGAGGGGGUCGCAGGUUCAAAUCCUGUUAUCCCGACCA
rnacentral:tRNA from 10 species